CCUACGGGAGGCAGCAGCGAGGAAUAUUGCACAAUGGACGCAAGUCUGAUGCAGUAACGCCGCGUGGGGGAAGAAGACCUUCGGGUUGUAAACCUCUUUUAUUUAGGAGUCGGUACUAUUUGAAUAAGUCUCGGCUAACUACGUGCCAGCAGCCGCGGUAAGACGUAGGAGGCGAGCGUUAUCCGGAUUCACUGGGCGUAAAGCGCAUGUAGGCGGUUGGAUAAGUCCGUUGUUAAAGCCCCUGGCUCAACUGGGGGAGGUCAAUGGAGACUAUUCGACUUGAGGGCAACAGAGGCACAUGGAACUCCCGGUGUAGCGGUGGAAUGCGUAGAGAUCGGGAAGAACACCCGUGGCGAAGGCGGUGUGCUGGUUCAACUGACGCUGAGAUGCGAAAGUGUGGGUAGCAAACGGGAUUAGAUACCCUGGUAGUC
rnacentral:rRNA from 1 species